rnacentral:misc_RNA from 1 species
ACACACACACACACACACGUGUGACUGAAUUUUUAGUAACUGCACAUUAAAUGAAACUUAUCUUCCAAUAGACUAGGGGAUGCAGAAGUCAUUACUUUGUAAAUAUACAAAUUCAACUAUUAUAUGUGAUAAUAUCUAAUGUUCUCUUCUAAAUGCCCCCUUUCAUAGUAUGCCAAAGACAGAACGCCAUAACACAUUGUCUUGCAG